UCAGUUUUUGUGCCAGUUCUUAUCGGGUAUAUCAUGCCGCCAUUUCAUGCUGCCUGGUAAGAGCUGUGACAAAAAUUG
rnacentral:pre_miRNA from 2 species